rnacentral:lncRNA from 1 species
GUUUUUUUUCUUGGUGCUUUUAAACCCUCUGGCUGCACCCUGGCCAAAACAGACAGUAGAAGGUAUUUCCAUGCAUCAUGUGGUAGUGGUGUUGGUAGUCUUCUAUGGCGGCAAACACUUGGCAACAGCCAGCCACCUGACAGGUGAACUCGGGCACCCUGGGGAAGGAGGUGUGUCUCUUGGAAGAAUGUCUCCUCCUCCCCCCAAUUAUCCCAAGAUAGGAAUUCCAGCAGGACUUCCUACACAGAUUACAGCUGAUCCUGGAACAAGUACAGCGUUUCUUGUGCCACCCCGAACCUUACUAAUAGACUAGGGGAGGGAAGACCCAAACAAGCCGUGCUCAUGUGCGGGCAGGGUGGUGCUAAGCGGAUGCUACUUAGGUGUCAUCUGGGAGGGGCAGGAGUUCCGGGGUGUAAGCGGACGAGAGAGGAGGAAUCAGGAUAGCACUAGCAAGCCGAGUAAGGCCUCGAAGCC